rnacentral:rRNA from 1 species
UACGUAGGGGGCAAGCGUUGUCCGGAAUCAUUGGGCGUAAAGAGCGUGUAGGCGGUCCGUUAAGUCGGCUGUGAAAGUCCAAGGCUCAACCUUGGGAUGCCGGUCGAUACUGCCGGACUAGAGUCCGGAAGAGGCGAGUGGAAUUCCCGGUGUAGCGGUGAAAUGCGCAGAUAUCGGGAGGAACACCAAUGGCGAAGGCAGCUCGCUGGGACGGUACUGACGCUGAGGCGCGAAAGCGUGGGGAGCAAACAGG